UGCAGCAGUGUUCACUGAAGAUCAAAUCAAACUGGAUUUAACAUGGACCUGAGGACCAGGAUGCUGGGACCUCAUCUCACUUUAAUUCUGGCAGUCAUUGUACUUGGAGCUUCCUGGUUGGCUGAUGGUGCAAACAUGAGACUUAUUAAUGGCAAUGGUUUCUGCUCUGGUAGAGUGGAGGUUUAUUAUAAUGGACAAUGGGGAACAGUGUGUGAUGAUGGCUGGGACAGUAGUGAUGCUGCUGUGGUGUGCAGACAGAUGGGAUGUGGCGGACCUGUCAGUGUCCACAGCAGUGCUCAUUUUGGUGAAGGAAGUGGCCCGAUACAUUUAGAUGAUCUGGGUUGUUCUGGAAGUGAAAGCUCCAUCACAAACUGCAAUCAUAAUGGAUUUGGCAAGCAUAACUGUGGUCAUGGUGAAGAUGCUGGGGUUACUUGUGCAGGUAGGUAAAAACUCAAUAUGUUUAUACUGCUAAUGUUCCAACUCUUGUCAUGUCUUGCCAUAAAUAUUUAAUUGCCCAUCACUUUCUUUUUUGAUCAGAAAGUAGAACACUUGUCCUUUUUAGAGAGGUAAAACAAAUUGAAAUUUAUUUUUUUGCUGUCAUGCUCAGGUCCACAGACACUUUCUCACUCUUUUAAUUUGCUAAAACCAAAGCCUCUUUACUUUCUGAUGAUUAUGGUUGACUACAGCUGCUAGCUUCUUUGUGCCACAUGACCGACAGCUUUUAUUUUUGUUGUACUUGCAUUUUUAAUAUUAUCCCCAUGUUGUCUGUCUGACAACAUGAUGCAGCUAAGAGUUCACAAAAAGCAGCACAUUAUGCCCCGAUAUGAGAAAACAAAGUCAUUGACAUACAUCAGUCUGGAAAAGCUUACAAGGUCAUUUCUAAAGCUUUGUGACUCAUGCAGACCAGAGUGAGAUCUAUUGUUCACAAAUGGAGAAAACAUGGAACACUGGUGAACCUUUUCAAGAGUGACUGGCCAACCGAAAUUAUUCUAAAAGGGCAAGGACAACUCAUUCAGAGGUCACAAAAGAACCCAGAACAACAUUUAAAUAACUGCAGAUCUCUUUUUGUUCAGUUAAGGUCAGUGUUAAUUAGGGUCAAUGUUAAGAGACUGAGCGAAAAUGGUAUCCAUGGGUUUCAAUGCAAAACCAUCUUGAUGACCCCCAGGUAAAUAUUCUGUUGGCUGAUAAAAUAAAGUUGAACUUUUUGGAAGGUGUGGAAGUUUUUGGAAGUCAUGGUGGUGGUAGUUUUUUGGUCUGCUUCAGGAUCUGGACUUGCUGUGGAUCCAUGAAUUAUGCUUCUACCAGAAAAAAAAAAAUCUGAAGGAGAAUGUCUCCCAAUUGGUUUGUGACCUUAGGCUCUGGUGUACUUGGGUUCUGCAACAGGACAGUGUCCGAAGUAGAGGUCUGUGCGGGACUGCUUUUUUAAACCCGUGCGUUUUUGUCCCAUUACCGCCCGCUUCUGCAAAAAAUUGCUUCUUUUAAUCCCGUGCCCGCCUGCGUCAUAAACAUUUCCGUCGCUCCCGCCUCCGCCCCACGGUCCUUACAGGAAUUGAAUUAAUUAUAUUUAGUGCUUCAAAUUUACUUAUGUUUUUAUUUAAACAGCAAUUCAGUUCUGAAUAGGACUGUCACAUUUCUUAUCACAGUCCAAACACAUGCUGUCAGGUGAAUUGGAGAUGCUGAAAAUCUCCCAUCGGUGUGUGUGUGUGUUUUUUCUUGAGGGUUUUCCCUGCAUGGGAAUGCGUGAUUAUCACAAUUUUCUUAAUUAUUUAUUCAUUCGUGGGAGUGGGACUACAUGUGCGCAUAAGCUAGAUUGAUUAAACUCCCGCUCCCGCCAAUAACAAUUCAGUUCUGUCCUGCGCCGCAAGAUAUUCUGACGGGUCCCGCUGGAGUGCAGACCUCUAAUCCGAAGCACACCAGCAAGUCCACCUCAGAAUGACUUAGUAAAACUGAAUGAGGGUUUGGAGUGGCCUAGUUAAAGACUGAUCGAGAUGCUGUGGCAUGAUUGUAAACGGGACGUUUAUGCUUGAAAACCCUCCAAGUUGUGAGUUAAAACAAUUCUGUAAAGAAAAGUGGGCAAACGUUGAUUGCAGUUGUUGUCACCAAUGGUGGCACAACCAAGUUAUUAGAUUUAGGGGGCAGACACUUUGCAACUUUCAGUUACAACUUUCACUCAAGUACACAAGAUGCAACUGGCUAAAUGACAUUAACCAACUUUUCAUUAAAGACAGGUACUUGUACUUGUAACAUGUUUUUUAUGUUUAAUUAAACAUUUUUACACUACACCUAUGGUAGUAAAUUUAAAUUAAUUUUACCAUGUUUGUUUUACAUUUUUACCAUAUUUUAGAAAUGUAAAACAUUAAAGGUAAUCUUGUAUUCAUAGUCAUAGUUUUUCAUACAUAGCACUUCUGCACUACUGCAUUGCUUCAGCCCAUUUUUGUUUAAAAUCAAAAGUAAAAAAGAGGACAUAAAAAUAUACAUUUAAUCUGGUCCUUUAAAGCAUCUCAUGAACUAACACAAAACAUUUUUCUAUAUUUGCAUAUCACAAAUCAGACAACAUCAGGCUGGUGAACGGGGGAGGUCGGUGUAGGGGUAGAGUGGAGAUCUACCAUAAUGGCCAGUGGGGAACAGUGUGUGAUGAUGGCUGGGGCAUGGAUGAUGCAGAGGUGGCGUGCUCACAGAUGGCCUGUGGCAAAGCUACCAGUACCCACAACAGCGCUCACUUUGGUCAGGGAAGUGGACCAAUAUUACUGGAUGAUGUUAGUUGUUCUGGAACUGAAACCACCCUCACAAGUUGCUCUCACAGUGGUUUUGGAAACCAUAACUGUGGUCAUGGGGAAGAUGCUGGAGUUGUCUGCUCAGGUAAGAAAGUAGUAUUAAAAAAACACUCUUUAAAGAAAAUGCAUAUACUGUAUUGUAACAAACUUUUCUUUAACAGAUGUGCUGCCGAGCCCCACACUCACCCUGAUCUCAUCACACUCUAUUGUCUUACCUGGGGAAUCUGUUCAGUUUAAAUGUACUUUGCCCCGUCAAAACUACAUGUCUUUAAACAUCAGUUUAUAUAAAAAUGGAGUUUCAGUAAAAACCCAAACAACUCAGUCUCCAGCAACAUUUACAUUGACUGUGGAUACCUCAGAUCAGGGACAGUACAGCUGUGACUGUUCAUACCAGAGAAGCAGCUCAUCCACUUCAUCCAGAAGCAGCACAGUUAACAUCACUGUCGUGACUCUACCCACUCCUCGCAUCUCUCUCAGUACCAACAAACAGGUCACAUGGGGAGAGAGAGUUGACAUCACCUGCUCUGUAGAAACUCAACACACAGGAGGAUCCUUCAAUCUAAAAACAGGUUCUGGGUCUGUUAUUCAGACAAAGAGUGGAACCUCUGUCACCUUCAGUUUUCCCAAAGUAGACUUUGCUAAUGCAGGGUCUUACUACUGCCAGUACCAGACACGAGUCUCCAGUCGAGAUUUCAGCUCUCCAUGGAGCAGCUCUGUGGAAUUUACUGUUAUAGAUCGCUCUUUUCUACAGGUUUAUUGUGUGAGGGACGAAGAGCCGUCUGACUGAUCCUGGUCCUGCUUCAGUAUAAAGCUCUGGCAGCUGUGGAGUUUGGUGCGACACUCUUCCUGUUUUACUACCAGCACCAUGCAGCCCAAACCAAGUGUUGAUGUUGGGGGUAUUUGUAAAAGUAUUAGCUCUUAAU